rfam:Paenibacillus rhizosphaerae strain FSL R5-0378 NODE_22_length_63274_cov_2.03951_ID_4006, whole genome shotgun sequence.
UAAAGUUGAAUAUGCUUACCGUAGACAGUAGGUGCCUAAGGGCUUAAUUUCCUACCGAGGUGUUGUGAUAGAAUAUAUAUGAUUUUCCUGCGCUUUGCCCGGACAAUCAUCAUUCAUCAGGCCUUCGUAAAUCUACGGAGGCUUUUUACUUGCCUAU